UCCAGGCGCCGGUAACGUCCUACCCGCCGCCCCCGGGCACGGCGCCGUGACCGAGAAGAGCUUCACCACCGCCCCCCUCCCCUCCUCGGCGACAGGGCUAAGCGGCCCGCAGCCGCUCGGUGCCCCCCCCCCCCCCCCCGCCACCGACCGGGCGGGGCAGCGGGAGGCGCGGCUCCGGGGGGGCGGGGCCGGGGCGGUGAGUUGAUUGACAGAGCAGGCGGCGGGGACACGCGGGCCCCGCGUGCUGUCCGCGUUCGCCCAGGCCGCCCAUUGGCUGGCGGGCGCGCGGCGAGCGUGACGGGCGCGCCGCCCGCCUUCCCCCCCCCCCCCCCCCCCGCGCCGCGUGCCCCGACGGCAAAUUAGAGCGGGACGGCGGGGAGGGCGCCGGGGCCGGCGGAGCCCCGCCGGCACGGGGCCAGGCUCGCGUCGCCGCCUCCCAGCAAGCCCGCCGAGGAGCCGCGGCUCGCCGUGCCAGCGCUGAGCCGCCUUUUCCUCCUGUUUCUGUUGGUCCUCUGCGAGCAGAGUGAUUCUCCAAAGCGGACAGAAACCUCUGGGAAGGCAUGCAGAGGGGUCAGGAAAAGGACAUUUGGAGAAGGGAGCGGCAAUCCUAAAUCCCCUUUCCCUCUGGCACGCAUGCAGAUCUGGGCGAGACUGCACAUUGCCAGAAGCGGCACAACAAGGGCUCCGCGGCGUCGCGUCUCGGUGCAGAGGAGCAGUGUUUUGUGUGCAUGGCGAAAAGCAGGAGCUCUGCUGGGAGCAGUGCUGGGAGGGGGGGGUGGGCAGCCAUCUCAGGCAGCUCCCGUGAAGCCCCUCCAAGUCGCCUGGCUCUGCAGGUUACAGCUGGGUCUCUCCAGGCCCACCAAGUCCUCGCUUCCUCAGAAGCAUUCCUGGAAAUCAUUGCAAAAUGAGCUUUGAUCUGUUUGCCAGUCACUGUGUAUUUGCAGGGCCUGGGAUCCCUCCCAGGCGGUGCUCAGCUAGCACCAGGAGGUCAAAACGGGCUGAACCCCGCCGCGUAAAGGAGCCGGUGGGAUAAAUGGUGCCACGGCGUUGUUCGCAUGGCGUGUGGGUAGCAUCCCUCUCCCCUACCUUUUGCUAUAGCCUCAUCCGUUUCCCCUGGAAGCUGGUUGGAGCAGGCACUGUGGCGUGCAGUGCCCAGGACAGCAGCGGCCCUUUCCAAAUGGCUCCUUAGUGCUGCCAUAAUAAGCCUGAUAAAUAAAACAUGGCUUGCAGACACGGAUUUACUGGAGAGGGCUAAGGGGGCUGUAGCUCCCUCAUUAGUAUCUCCCGGUGCAGCGUGUGUGCUCCUCAUUAUGUGGCACAGUGGCAGUUGUCUAGUCAUCCACGAUGAGGCUGCAGCCACUCCAAGGAUGCGCCAGGGAUCCCAGGGACCUUUUUUUUUCUCCUGUGUUAAUAAUAGGAAUUUACAAGAAAAAAAAAAAGACCUUGAAUAUGAAAAGGAUGAAGGGGGAAAGACUGCAGCGCUGAGUCUGAUUUCCUCUCCCUUGCGUCUCUGUAAGUCAGCAGCAAACACAGAGAAAUCCAUAUAGCCGUGCUAAUACGGAAUUGGCAUGAGUAGGAUCAAGACCUCUGGACUGCACAAACUCUUAUUUUGGGCAGCUUUGUUUCCCUUCAGUCUAAAAUGCUGCUUGUAAACUCUUGGCCGAAGUAUAAACUCAUCCUCUCCCUCCCAUUUUUCUUCUUCUGUUUAAGGGAAAAGAAUCAGUUUGGCCGAUUUCAAGUCCCUCAGAGCUGGGUACUCGGGAAUCUGGGUUAAUCUGAACAGGGUUUGUGGAGGUUUGAUCCAGUUUUUCUUUCCGGCCAUCAUUUAAAUCCCUCUUACCUCUCGCAUACAAGCUGCAACUGCAUCAUCGCAGUAACCCUGUGACCGAGAGGCAUGAGAGUCUCCUCUGAGACUGUAAUCUCACUCUAAACAGCUCUCUGGCGGGUGCUCGUGAGUGGCGAUACAUCAUGCAAUUUUCUCCUUUAGAGGCUCGCGGUGUCAUCUCCACCGUGAUCCCUGCCCUGCCUGGUCAGUGCUGGUAAGCCAGAGCCCGGGGCCAGCCUGGGAGCGGGUUCCUGGGCCAGCACCGCAUGGCUGGGGCACAUGCGGGGUCAGGAACGGCGUUAGCAAAAUCUGCCCCUUCCUCUGUGGCGCCCUGCCCACGCUCUGGCAGAAAAGAUAUCUUUUUAGGAUGGCAGGAGACUUUACUGGCAUAGCAAAAUAAUCUUCAAUAAACUCAUGACUUUCUGUAACGGUAUUUAAUAUGCAGAUAGCCAAACGAAUGCCACCAUGAUAUAUUUUUAUGGACAAAUAUUAUAUAUUAAGCCCUGAUUUAUACAUUUGAGCGUAAUACCUGGGGCUCUGAGGAGAGCCUUUAAUCUCUGUCAGCGAGGCAGCACGCAUGCUAAAACGCCGAGUAAAUCUGCACAGGAGCGGUGAACCGAGCGCAGCAUAUAUCAGAGUUCUUCCGCCUGAUAAAAUUAAAUACACAAGACCACCUUUCUGUGACAUUAACGGUUUGAUACGCAGGGGCUGCCAUCAGGAAAUACGGAUCUGCGCUUCCCACUCUGACCCUAACCUGCAGCGUUCCUGCUGCUUCUGCCAUCCCCAUCCCGACACGCGGGAUGGGUGCCACCUCAAGCUCCCAGGAGAAGCUCCUGGGUGAAGGAAGGGUCUCUGCCCGUGACUUGCCCCCUCUCCUCCCAUCACCCUUGCCUUCCCUGUGACUGCCUGGGUGCAGCCGCCCUAUUUCUCCUUCGUCAGCACGUGGAGUAAGGUGAGCGUUGGCUCAGCAUGGGGUUCUGCAUUUAAUAAUCUCACCAGCUCAACUGUUUUUAUCUCAAUCUCCCUUCUGAACUGAUAAAUCUAAAUUGCACAUUUUCUAAACCGCUUAGCUUAGGGGUAAAUCUUGCAGGUAUCCUCAAAUGACUAGCUGGUGUCUUCUGCACCUGUCUAGCACCAUCUACUGUAGCUUUUUUAUACUGUUUUCCUUUCCCUUCCCAUCUGCAGGCUUACGAUUCCUGCAGGAGCUGCCUUCAUCCCGAGGGGUUUGUGGAAGAACGGGAGCUCUGGUUUUCUUUGAAAGGCCCGGGGCUGGCAUGGUGGUGAAACAAAUACAGUACACGUUCAUCCUAUAGAUUACGUUUCCUCGUUUUAAACCAGUGACCCGAUUUUCAGUGCCUAGCUUGCUGUUGAUAAAUUUUACACUCUUCUCAGUGCUCGGAAAGAGAAGAUGGAGCAGAACAAAGGUGGCCCACCUUCACUGAACCUUUCCAUACUAGCUGGUGGAGCAAGAAUUAGGGACGUGGCAGGACGAGGGGCUGGUGCAGAGCUUUGUGUGCGGAGGAGAGGGCCUGCCUGGGAACAAAUCUUCAGUUGCUGCCCCGAGAUGGCAAGGGCGAGACAUCAGCUUGGAUUUUCUACCAUCUGAUGGGGAGUUAUGGGGCGGGACUAGAGGCAGCAGGAUUUUCCUGUGAAAGUCCUAUCUCUUCUUGUUACGUUCAGUAUGAAAAGGGAAGCUGCUCUGAAAGAAUAUCCUACUUUUUCCGAGCUCGGCAGUUCAGAGCUGACAUGGAGCGUUAUGUGUCCUUAUUAUAGGCACUCCUAUUACAAUGUGGUUUUGGCUGGAGGAUGUUGUAUGGUUAAAGACAACUAUUACAACCGAAAAUAGAACCAGAGCUUUCCGACUGCUACGACUAUUAUGGAUUUGUAUGAUUAAUAUUUAGUUGCUUUACAAAAAGCACCGAAAGCUGGAAGUCAAAAUCAGAGCAAAGUUGUGCUAAGGAUUGCGUAUGGUUUUUUAAAAAAAAAAAAAAAAAUCUGUUCAUAAUAAGUAUUUCUGUAGGUGAUAGAUUAACAUAAAAAUACUGCCAGUCUUUUCCAGGGCUGUAAAACACAAAACAAACUACAUCAUACUUUUUUUGUUGUUGUUAUUGAAACCCACAUUAUCUGUUUGAAGCUAACUUGUUUCAAUAGCAAGUAAUAUAUUUUUCCACAGUCCUUGUGAAAACUGGAAAUGAAGUAGAUUUGGCAGCUUAGCCUGUGAAGUUCUGUGGCAAAUCUGCAAACUGAAAGACCAGAGGGUUUUGUCCUGGCUUUGUUUCUUGAUGAAGUUCUGAAAAGAGCUAAAUUAAAUCCAUGCUUUAGCCAUAUGUGCAAUUUUGUUCUACUGGAAUAGCUUAUAGCUGUCAGUGAAUUUCUCCAUACUCCCAGCAUUGUGUAAGGGAUGAUACAAGAGCCUGAAGAUUACUCUCUCCAGUAGUACCAUGCAUUCGCGAGCUUAAAAUUAUUACAACAGCAUUCUUUUCAUUUACAUGGCUGGAGAGAAUCUGCUUUUGCAGUAAAUUUGUUUCAAAGCAGAUUUCUGUGUCCAUCGUUAUUGGUGGUUUACAAGAUUUCUCUUAUUUCCCCCCCCCACCCCAUGUGGGGAUGUGGGAGCAAAUGAAAUAAACCCAUCAUAAAAAAUAAUUUUGUCCAGGUGGAACAUAAAUCAGCCAAAAAAAUAUUAUUCUACAUGGCAAAUAAAAAGCAUAUGCUGUAUUAUUUAAAGCACAGCCUCCAUAUUCACAUACAAAAUUAAUGCUACAGUGGGAGGUAAAACUGAUGGAGGCAGACAAUGAAAAUAUUAGGAGUAAAACAUGAUGCCAGGAACAAUUCAAGCAGAGCCACUUGCAGGGUCAUGGUCAUAUUCCAUUUCAAAUGGGCAUGGAAAUACACUGUGGGUUAUUCUUCUCCAGAGAUGCACAGAUAAUAAGCACCUGCUCCCCAUGUCUACUCUUCCCUUUUAACUGUUGAUUUAUUGGAUGUUUCUGAAAGCUGUGGUCAGGCUCGUGAGGGAUAUAUAACGUGGUGCCUGCAGGAAGAAAUGGGAGCGGGCAGACGAGCUGCCACGCUCCCCGUCACUACCUCAGGGUGAAGGGCUGAGCGGGGUUCAGAACAAAAGCCGGCUCCUCUUCAGCUUCCAGGCGAAAAGACCCUACCAAAAGGUAAAUCAGCAGUCUCCCUGUACUGGCUGUGCCUGGGUCACACCUAGGGAAGUCAGUAAAAAAUCCUAAACUACGUUCCUUGCCUCAAACUAGAGUAAAUGGUGGGUUCAGAGGAGGCACAUACAAUGUUCAGAAGUCUAAGGCACCAAAAGGGGUCUUCUCCAUCACUAGGUACUUGACUUCCACAGCAUCAAGGAAACUACUGGAAUAUAUGUCUAUAAAACAUACUAUUGCCUGUGUUUUAAGGUCAUUUUCAGAACAACAUUAGGAAUCCAGCCUUCUUACAUGUAUAAGAAGGUACGUACCACAUACUACUACACCUUACUACAUUGGAGACAGUACCACCAGCAAAUUUUUUAUGCUCAUCCUAGUUCUCCCAGGGUCGGGGUGGGGGGCUUCAUUCCAUUCCUCCCUUAAACUGACAAACAGCCUCACUAAAUAAGGGAUGAACAUAAUCUUCAGAUAAUGUUGAAGCUGGGUCACUACGAAGAGACUUUGAAUUGAUAAGAUGUUUUUCUGUGUAAUUUAAUAAAAAAAAUCGUUGCACAGAGA